UAGCUCAAUUGGUAGAGCAUGGUGUUUGCAACGCCAGGGUUGUAGGUUCGAUUCCCAC
rnacentral:tRNA from 1 species